rnacentral:rRNA from 1 species
UACAGAGGUGGCAAGCGUUGUUCGGAAUUACUGGGCGUAAAGGGCGCGUAGGCGGUCAGGUCAGCUGUGAAAACUCGAGGCUCAACCUCGAGACGUCGGUUGAAACCGUACGGCUAGAGUCCGGAAGAGGAGAGUGGAAUUCCCGGUGUAGCGGUGAAAUGCGCAGAUAUCGGGAAGAACACCCGUGGCGAAGGCGGCUCUCUGGGCCUUACCUGACGCUGAGGAGCGAAAGCGUGGGGAGCGAACAGG